UCCCGACUGGCGCGCUGCUCCACGCGCCUGCCCCGCCGCCAACUUUGCCAAACCUGCGGGUGGCCGCUGUCCAGCGCCCCCGGGCCGCGGGGAGAGCGGGCGCGGCCCCGGGGCGGCGUGGAGAAGGGCGGGGCGAGAGCGCCGGACGCCUGCCCCCCGGGACGGGCACUGGACGAAGCGGGAGGAGAAAGGCAAGACUAGCCGCUCGGGUGAGGACGAGAGGAUAGAGGGCGAGACGCUUGUUCUUCUGGAUCGAUACUAUUCUUCCAUACAUUGAUCCAGACUAGCCAUAGGAACCAGUCAAGAUAUUUUGCCACAAGAUCUAGGACAAGAGGAUUUACCUACUAUUGCCCACCUUGCAAAUCUCCUAGGGACCUUUCACCUGCUUCUGCUACUGCAAAUGAUUGGACAUCCAUUUACAUUUCCUCUUCUUCAUGUGUGGAAGGAAACUUUUGUUCACUGUGCUUCAGGCUGCACCUGGCCUGAGAGUGGGUCCUUGAAUUCCCCUUGUACCAUUCCAACUUGCCAAGGUGGUUAUGAGACCUGAGGGAGGUGUUUAGGCGUGGACUUUGGGCCAGGUGUGUAAAUCCAUUUGGUACCAACUUUGGGCCCCAAGGAUAAGGGCAUGUGUAGCUGCACCAGAAGAGAGGGGAACAGUGAAAACUAAAAUUUCACCCUCUGUGAUGAUCUUCACCACCACCAGUACCAACAAUGCUGUAAGUACAGAGGAUUCACCUACCCAGUCGUUUUUCCUCUCCAUCCGGGCCCUCUGCAAGAGUGAGCCAGUGCUCAGAGAUGGUGGAGGGUAUGGCUGGUGACUCAGUCUCAACUGUGUCUCAACUGUGUCCAAAGGUCUAGGGAGAAGUCUGCUCACCAGUAGCUAUAUCCUCUCUGGGAAGGCACAGCGCCCUAAAGUGGUGAGGCUGUAGGCCUGUGGGAACUGGGGCCUCCUGCCCCUCUUUUUAUUUUUAUUUAAUACUCACAAACUUCUCUUCAUCCCCCCCCUUUUUUUUCCCUUACAGUUUCUGAAAGGACCGAAGUAACACCAAGAACUCCCAGAUGAAGAGGACCUUCCUGGAUCUGUAACUGGGAUUAACCAGUUCUUUACUGGGAGAGAAAGUUUCAACUAAUCCUCAGGAUAAAAGCAAACAGGCCUGUGACUGUCCCUUGAACACUGACGGUGUAAACAAGCUUCUGGCUCCUCCAGGUCAAGCAGAGGAACACUUUUCAUUAGAAUGUUGGGUUUCUUCUUUGUUAUUCAAACAUACACCCACACACAUCCCCUUGUCCCUCCCUAAUGAACAAACCUCAACAGAUGGAGAGCCUAGGCUCCCAAGACUUAUGGCUGAGAAGAUGCACUUCACUCAAGGGUGGGUUGGCUUGUACAGAAUGGGGGAGAGAGAAGAAAUGGGAAGCUAGUAUAGGUAAUUACUGUCUUUUAAUACUCCUUACAGAUAGAAAUCCAAAAAAUCCAGUUCCGCAAGGUUAGCACCCUCUGGGGCCUGGGAAACCGAUUUGGCUGAUGUGUCUGUGAUAGGGACUAGGCUUGGGGCUGCACCAGGGGGGAAGUACUCACUCUAUGUUCUAUCAUUCUCUCUCAUUUGAAAGCCUGUACAAAGAAAUGGUACAAAUGGAUGGUUAACUUAAUGAUUCCAUCAGAGGCGGAUUUUUCUCUGUCAGGUCCCGGGAUGAGGCUGAGGUCUGAAAGCCAGGAGGCAGAACAUUUACUUAAUCGCCCUUUCUUACCGCCUUUCCAGGGGCCAGGACUGCUCUUCAGACCUUUCCUCUGCCACGUCCCCGUACCCCUGGCUAGCUCAGUUGGGUCUUCUUACCCCACUCCUGGCUGGGCCUGAGUUUCUCCUGGUAGCCACGGCAAGGUCUCCUUAUGGCUAAAUCUUUUCCCACUCCCACCUCCCAUUCUACUGCGGGCCAUUUUUGCAGCCUCGUCUCUACCCAGCUUUAAUUAACAUUUGAUUGCCUGGACAGAACAACCAGGGGCUCCCAAACCGCUGCCACCCCCAUCCAUGGACCCUUUCUUCAGGCCUCACGAUGAUCCCCCACAACCUCGCUGAUCCCUCCCCUCCCCCAGCCCUCCCCGCCGCCUCUAUAGGAAAAAAAAAAAAAGCCGAGCUGGCCAAGGCCUGAGCCUGAGAGCCACUUCCUCCUCUGGAGCAGCAAACGGGGUAAACCUCCCAGAGACCAAUGCCCAAAGCGAGGUCCGGCCCUUCCCCACCUCCAGGCGUAAGCCCAACAGUGCCAUUGUGAGGCCUUUCCCGACGCGGAGCCCUUGGGGAAGCUGCGCACACAAAGGCGAAGCCGCUCCUGGAAGCCCGGCUUGCUCGGCGCCCUCAACCUAGCGCCGGACAGUCGAGGCCUUGUGCGCUCCCCCAUUGUACCCCGUGCGGCCGUCUCGGGCAAAAGUCACGGGCUGGGGUGGAGGUUUCCUUCUCCUGCCAGCUUGGCCCCUUCCCGCUCCAGGUCACACACUCCCCCCACUUCCCCGGGAAGGAGAGGCCUGGGCCCAGAGCGCCAUUGCCCAGCCGGUGCUCCCCUCCCCCACGCUCUUCUUUCUGCUUUCCCGAGGCCCGGGAGGGAGGAGGCGGGCGCCUCCGCCGAUAGAGCAGCUAUUGUGACCUUCCCUCGCCGAGCGGGAACCCAACCGAGUGUACCGCUGGCGGGGGAGGAGGCGACUGUAUGCGCAGACCUCGGGGUGCAGAGGGGGGUGGUACUGGGAAAUAAAUAAAGGUUUGCAACCUUGGGCAGUUGGGCCCUUCAGAGGGCGUUUGGUUGUGUUUAGACUCCGGUGCUUCCUAACACUAAUUGCGGGCUCAAAAGGAGCAGAAUUUAUGGCGAAGGCCAAGGCGGCUUGUUUAUAAUUUAUGAAGUUUUAAAUGGCUGUGCUGCAGGCCCUCCUCUCGCCCUGGCCGGCGGCCGCGCGGGAAGCGCCUCCCCAGACUCGCCACCGCGCCCUCCUCCCCGCGCCAGGAGCGGCGGAGUGUGCCCAUCACAUGACACGCCGAGGGCAGGAAAGAAUCCAAGCCAUUCUAGGAAGCCUCGGGGAAACCUGUCACCAAAGGUGAGAGAAAGUCAAUUUGUCCCAAGCGAACUCCCCCACCCCGUUAGAGAGGGGUGCCUCCGGGUAACUGUCCGGAGAGGGAGCCCCCGACCCCGCACCUCUCUGGAGCAUCAGUGUGAGAGGAAGCUGAUGUCAGCCGGCCUAGACACCGUUUAAAGUCUAAUCCAUGAGACCUAAGCCGCAGAUGACACUUGGGGCCUUGCAGACACCCGCAGACUCAGCAGAUACUCCUGCGGUAACACACCGCGCUGGAAAACGCCUGGAGCCAUAAUGCAUUAUGUAUUUUUAUUAUUAUUUAUGGUAGGAAGAGGAGAUGAGGGAAAACCGGGCUGAAUCUAAACAGCCUGAUAAUUCAUCUAUUUAAUAUUUAGCCAGUUAAGAAAGGUUGUUGUAAUCCCUGCAAGGCAGCAAGCUCUUCUUUGACUUCCCUAAUAGCUUAAAAAAUAAUUUCUUACAAGACAAUUAGAAAUUCUGCCUAUGGAUGCAAAUUUCAUAGAAAACAAUUUUAAACCUUGCAAAUGGGUAAAAUAUCCCUUCAGUUGAAGUCAUUUAUUCUGUUGAUACACUUGUACAACAUGUAUACUCUAAACCUGCUCAGAUAAAGUGAAAUUUUGCAAAAGGAUAAUCCCUACCACCCCCGAUCUAACAUGCCAUUUUAAAAACAAAGGAACAAGGGAACUAGAUAUUAUUUGAGCUAUCAUUAUUUAGCGAAACACAAACAUCCAAAUAGAAACGAUUGUUGUUCCACCAGAAGAUUAGAAGUUAAAUUAUUUCCACACAAUGGGAAUUUCACCUCGUGUCACCGGGGGGAUGUAGUAGGAGCUGUAUUAUUUGUCAAACCGAAUAGAGAUGCGUGGGCUGACUUUGCUGAAAUACAAAAGACUUGAACCUUAUCUGAAGGCGCUUUCCUUUCCAAGUGUCUCCUCCUAGAGAAGCGGGUGGACAUUGUCCACCCCUAGCCGAAGCCAGGCUAAUAUUUACAAAGUGGAUAUAAAUCCUUGAAGACAUUUUUGCCCGUGUUGUACAAAGAAACCGGAAUAAACAAGGUGUUUAUACUUGUUGUGUUCCAUUAAUUAAACUUUUAUUACUUUACA